UACGGAGGGGGCGAGCGUUAUUCGGAAUCAUUGGGCGUAAAGGGCGCGUAGGCGGCCCUGUAUGUCUUGGGUGAAAUCCCUCGGCUCAACCGAGGAAUUGCCUUGGAUACUGCAGGGCUCGAGGCUGGAAGAGGGCAGUGGAAUUCCCGGUGUAGCGGUGAAAUGCGUAGAGAUCGGGAGGAACAUCUGUGGCGAAGGCGACUGCCUGGACCAGCACUGACACUGAGGCACGAAAGCGUGGGGAGCAAACAGG
rnacentral:rRNA from 1 species